CCUGUCCCAGAAGCAUUGCCGGUGUGGCUGCUGUGUCACAUGUACAUCAGUAAGUGGCGGGGAGGAGAGAGGCUCUUCUAAGUUCAGAAUUGUGACCUGUGAAUGUCUGAAUGAUUAGCAGCCUAACAUU